UUCCUGUGUUCAUUACUCAUCGAGCUGAGGCCUCGUAUGCAGCAAGGCGUAUUUCUUACGUGCUGCUCAGAAAGGUCUAAAACGUAGUGAACGCUGAAGAAAAGAGUACAGAAAUAUAAAAACAAUAAUGUCCUGUUAGAUAUAUACAUGUGGCCUACAUAGAUCUGUUAUAAAGAAAGGAGGAAAGUGAUUCAGUUUGAAGAUCUACUAUUAGUAUUUAUUGAUUCAAGGUCCAGUCAAGUUAUUACUAUCUAUAGUCCUUGUGUUCAAUGUCCAGUCCGUGUGACCAUUGUCCAGUCAAUGUGAUCCUUGCCAGUUGAAUUCCUAUUAUAGUCAAGUCAAUACCGGUCCAUUCAAGUUAUUCCUUGUCGGAGUUGUCCUGUCAAGUUGAUCCUUGUCCGGUGGAGUUUAUCCCUGUCCAGUCAAGUUGAUCCUUGUCCAGUCAAGUUGAACCUUGUCCAGUGGAUUUGUUCCCUGUCCAGUCAAGUUGAUCCUUGUCCAGUGGAUUUGAUCCCUGUCCAGUCAGGCUGUUGUUCUAGAGAUGCUUUAGAUGAUGGCACUUUCUUACUGAUAAAUAUAGCUGACCUCAGUUUUCAUCAAAUUAGUAUGUAUUGUAUCAUAUAUAUGUUUUAGUUCACCUGGCAUACUCAUCACUUAGCGUCAGUUGUCUAUCGUUGGUGUUGUUAAAUUUUACAAAAAUCCUCUCCUCUGAAACUACUAGGACAAAUUAAACAAAA